rnacentral:rRNA from 1 species
UACGAAGGGGGCUAGCGUUGUUCGGAAUUACUGGGCGUAAAGCGUGCGCAGGUGGUUUCUCAAGUCAGGGGUGAAAGCCCAGAGCUCAACUCUGGAAUUGCCUUUGAAACUGUGAAACUCGAGUGCGGGAGAGGUGAGUGGAAUUCCCAGUGUAGAGGUGAAAUUCGUAGAUAUUGGGAAGAACACCAGUGGCGAAGGCGACUUACUGGACACAUAUUGACGCUGAGGUGCGAAAGCGUGGGGAGCAAACAGG